CCUGUCAUCAGUCCAUCCAUAAACAGUCUCAUGCGGAGAUAAUAAGAUGGAUUUUGAUAGUCAAACAUCAGUCGUCCAUCCUGGUGAAGGUGGAUGUACUUUGGGUCUAAAUCAGGUCUGGUCCACUCCACUGUCUCAUCAGAAACACUGAUGGGAGGUUCAAGGUGACAUGGUAGAA